rnacentral:lncRNA from 1 species
CGGGUAUGCCGUAAAGAGGUCUCACAACUUUGAGAAACGUCCUCCGGGAAAAUAUUGUGCUAAUUCUGGUGUGAUCCGUAUAUAGAAGUCACGAUUGAGCUUCGUUGUUGACUGAAUAUAGGCCUGUGUGACGUCGCGAAUGUAACAACGUACGUUUUUCAUGAUCGUAGCGAAGCAGAGAAUGAUACGUUGACUGGCUCGUUGUAUUGUCGGUGACUGCGUUAGUACGUACUCCUUGCCUUCAUCGUUGUAGGCUUGUACGACGAGCCGCGAUUUCUCAAAGGCUUUGUCGGUGCCGUUAUUUUUCACUUCGUUAACGAAUCUUGCAGUAAUAUACGCGUGCCCGGUGGUAUUCUUUUUCUUGAGCGUAUUCGAAUACACCCCGUUCUAGCAAACCGUUGAUCUCUUUCUGUGUGAACCUUCGAAUCGGGCUAGUACGUAGCUGCGAAUUGGUGACGUGUCGUCUUCAUGCUCCUUCGUGAAUUCGCCUAGGAACGUAUGCUGCAUGUAAUCUUCUCUGUACCGUGUAGUACGGUUUGACAGCUGUUGACCGGAAUGGGGUCGGUCCAUUUGAAGCUCGAUUAUCACGUUUCGUUGCUCAUUACUAGUAAUUUGUACGGUCCGGUCCAUUUUCCUGCAUAUCCGGUGUUCCCUUCUCUCCAUACGAGUACGUCCGAAUUGAGAGGAAGACGGUGUACGGCUGUUGACGAUGGUCCGUUUCUGGUGUUGACAGCGUCGGUGACCUGGCGUUGAGCACGUAUCCUACGAAUCUCAGUCAUUGCUUUCUUGACGCGGCGGCGCGUUGAGUAAUCGUAGGUGCAGGGGGGUCAUAUUCGGUCAUUCGUGGGUAGGCACCAAAGACGAGAAGGGUCGGCACAAGGCCAUCUGGGCCUGCGGUGUCAUUGACAGCUUUUACAGCCAUUUGUAAGGCUGCUUCGGUGGAGAUAUCGGGCAGUUCUUCUUUAUGAUUUCGUACGAGCGGCGAAGUACGGCAUGGUAUCGUUCAACAGCGCCAAUUGACCAAUGGGCUUCGAAGGUACGGUAGUAACGAUUAUAUCCAUUGACGAAGCGUCUCGUGAGAAUUCUUUGCUGUGAAGUUCUUGCCGGCGUCGGUAACAAUGAAAUCAGGGGGGCCAAGGUACGUAUCGAUCCACAUAAUCCGUAGUGCAGUCCAUGUUGCUUUUGCUGAAAUGUUCUCGAGCCAACGUGCGGCGUUAAAGCGCGUAGCUUCGUCAACGACAUGGAGCACCGGUUUUCCGUUAAUAUACAUAAUAUCGACAAUAAUUGAAUGGUUGAAGCUGACAUCGUCCCGUACCGUGAAUCUAAAACGACCGGGGGAUUGGCCGUAGAUUUGGCAAUGGUGGCAGAACUUUCGUAUGUGCUUUAGUGCUUCGGUAUCGACAUCGUGGCCAGCGCGUACGAGCAGUUUUCGAAGCUUCUCGACUGACGGGUGGCCGAAUCGGCGAUGUAGGCGGCGUAGCUCGGUUUCCGUGAGGAAGCACGUAUCGGUGUCAAAAGAUUCGUUAAGUACGAUUUGAGCGAGUGAUCCCAUAUAAGAAUGGAUGACCGAAGCGUCGUGAGAUUGGCGUUGUCAUACCGGGCUUCGGUCCAACGAGAACGUUCUUCGUAUUUCAAAAUAGAUGCCUAGUCGAUCCAUGUCCUUGAUGAGAGUAGGAACGGUGUCAUUACUUCAAUGAUUGGAAUCGUACGUCCCACGGGGUCGGUACGUCGAUCGAGCCAAUAGACUUAUUGAUUCACCUGGUCCGAAUCGUAUAGCUGCCUGUCCUGCGUAGAGGUAUCGAGUU